GCGCCGCGUUCCAAUAGCGAACGUGAAGUAACAAUCCGGAGACUGCAAUGUAUCCGAUUGAAACAAAACGUUCGCUGGAAAUCCACCAGUGUUUCCAAACAACCAGCCCGGCACGCAUCGUGCUGCUCAUUUACAUCUCAUUUGAUCCGCCCCGACACUCGCACCAAUCGCGCUGGAGGGAAGCUUAACAGUAGUAUUUUUCACAUGGACGCCCUUCUGCAUUAAUCCGUAGCAGGUUUUUUUUUAUUAAAAUAAAGCAACGGCAAAGAAUGUUGCCUCAAGCCACACCCUGUAGACACCUUGAUGUGGAAUAUGUACACCUACUGGUCAUGGAGCUCUUUAAUCUGAACGUCCUUCAGAAUCCAUCGGGACUCAAGAAUCUAACAAAGUCAGGUGGAGGUGGAAUCAGCCUUAGCGGCAGUUCAAUUUAACGUGGGAUUCAAAGGAAUCUUAAAGUGUCCAUUAAGCUGUACUCUAAUGAUUGUGUCUAAACACAUUCAUCCAAUUGCCCAGCUGAAGAAAGCUUGUUCAAAAGUGUUACAUAAAAUACAAUGAUGCAGCAUUCUGUCCAUUAUGAACCUUUUUCGUCUCAAAAGUACAAUGCUACAUCCUUAACACCAAUGACAGAUUAGGUUGAUUUGGAGCCCCUCAUCUGGCAGAUUUCACACGUAAUUACCAAUUAUCUCAAAAAAAAAACAAAAACACAUUUAAGUCCCUCAUUACACAGUGGCACAUUUCAUAUCAACAAUUCUGAAUCUAAUGCCAGCAAUAAAAAGAAAAAGGCACAAGAGAUCUGCUGGUAACUGUAAGCCUUCAGCUGCCUGGGGACUAGGCUUUGGAAUUCCCUCCAUACACCUCCCUGCCUCUCGACCUCCACUUAAAACACACAUCUUUGACUAAGCUUAUAUUAAACUUAUAUCUCCUAUGUCAA